rnacentral:rRNA from 1 species
GACGAACGCUGGCGGCGUGCCUAAUACAUGCAAGUAGGACGCAGUUGCGAACGGGUGAGUACCGCGUCGGUAACUGCCUAUUAGAGGGGGCUAACUAUUGGAAACGAUUGCUAAUACCGCAUCCUAGUAUAUGGACCUGCGUUGUAUUAGCUAGUAGGUAGGGUAAUGGCCUACCUAGGCGACGAUACAUAGCCGACCUGAGAGGGUGAGCGGCCACACUGGGACUGAGACACGGCCCAGACGCCUACGGGAGGCAGCAGUAGGGAAGCUGCGGCAAUGGGGGGAACCCUGACCGAGCAACGCCGCGUGAGUGAAGAAGGUUUUCGGAUCGUAAAGCUCUGUUGUUAAGGAAGCGGUACUUAACCAGAAAGGGACGGCUAACUACGGGCCAGCAGCCGCGGUAAUUC